rnacentral:rRNA from 1 species
UACGUAGGGUGCGAGCGUUGUCCGGAAUUACUGGGCGUAAAGAGCUCGUAGGUGGUUUGUCGCGUUGUUCGUGAAAACUCACAACUCAAUUGUGGGCGUGCGGGCGAUACGGGCAGACUGGAGUACUGCAGGGGAGACUGGAAUUCCUGGUGUAGCGGUGGAAUGCGCAGAUAUCAGGAGGAACACCGGUGGCGAAGGCGGGUCUCUGGGCAGUAACUGACGCUGAGGAGCGAAAGCGUGGGGAGCGAAUAGG